CAGCAGUGGGGAAUAUUGCACAAUGGGGGAAACCCUGAUGCAGCCAUGCCGCGUGUGUGAAGAAGGCCUUCGGGGUUGUAAAGCACUUUCAGUAGGGAGGAAGGUAGUGUAGUUAAUACCUGCAUUAUUUGACGUUACCUACAGAAGAAGCACCGGCUAACUCCGUGCCAGCAGCCGCGGUAAUACGGAGGGGUGCGAGCGUUAAUCGGAAUUACUGGGCGUAAAGCGCAUGCAGGCGGCCUGUUAAGUCAGAUGUGAAAGCCCGGGGCUUAACCUCGGAAUUGCAUUUGAAACUGGCAGGCUAGAGUCUUGUAGAGGGGGGUAGGAAUUUCAGGUGUAGCGGUGAAAUGCGUAGAGAUCUGAAGGAAUACCAGUGGCGAAGGCGGCCCCCUGGACAAAGACUGACGCUCAGAUGCGAAAGCGUGGGGAGCAAACAGGAUUAGAUACCCUGUAG
rnacentral:rRNA from 1 species